AUCUCCAGGCCCUGUCUGUGGCCUCUUUCAAGAAAAAAAAUUAUCCAGGGUUAAUUAGAGAAUGAGGAUACUUUGAAACCACUUUGAAUAUUUAGUUUUCAUUUUCUUUUCCCCCUAGUGUUCCUUACUCUGAUAUAGAGGUUACAGGCCUGGGCUCCAGAGACAACCUAGGUUCAAGCCAUUCACCCUUUUUGUGUCACCUUAGGCACAUCUCUUUGGGCCUGCACAUCUCCCACUGUAAAGUAACUACCUGUACCUACCACCUUCCAGGGUUGUUAAGAGUUAACUGCCCUCACACCUGCAAAGGAUCCAACUUACUGCCAGGUAGGAAGCUGAGAGGAAGCUCUUCUUUGGGGAAUGGAAACCGGGAGGUCAUUUUGAAGAGAAAUCAGCAGCACCUCCUGACCCUGCUGACUGCACCUCCAGGACCUGAGUUCUCUUUGGUCCACAGAUCCACAGUGAAGUCCCCAGCUCCUGGAAAAGGGAUCCUGCUGAGUGCUGGGAAGUUGCCAGUGUGUGUGAAUGGCUGGGUUAGCGCAGGUUUUCCCAGCCACCUCACAGAAAGCACCUUUGGGGGGAGCCUUCGGUUCUGGGUCCGGACUGCCACCUCUCAGAGAAGCCACGUAGUUCUUGGAGCACUGUCGGCAGGCAGAGCCACACCAAAGCAAUGCAGGCGGCCAGGACACACAGCGACAUCAUGAACUUCCCCUCUUCCCCAAAACCACCACAGACCUGGCUUCCUUUUCAGUUCGCCAAAGUCUGGAAAAUUAACCCGAGAGUCUAGGCAAAGGAAACUAUUUUCAGCGGCCUUGCUCUUGGGCAGCCCCUCUUCCCUUCCGGUGUCCCGGAAGUUCCCAGGUGUCAGGCGUAGGCACUCACAGUGACUUUUUGAGGGUGCGCAGCAUUGACCUCUACUUUGGAGGGUGCCAUACGGGUAUCAAAGGAAGCGUGUCCAGAGAAGGAGUCCGGGGCUCCGGCGCAGCCGCUGACCUCUGCGGCUUGGCGGGCUCCACAGAACCGAGACUGCGGGACCGGCCCUGCGCAGAGGCGGGCGGGCGCUGUCCACCCGGAGGUGCUGAAAUACAAGUCGCCUGGCGGAGCCGCCAGCAGGAGCUGCCGGUCCCCACCACCUCGGCCAGCGAGACGGGCUUCUCCGUGGAAGGAAAGCAGUUCCAGACGUCGUCAUCGCCCCCAAACCUCAAUGACUGCCUAACUGGUCUCGCUGCUUUUUGUUCCUCAGCCUUUGCUCCACCCAGUACUACUUACUCGAAGUGGGUUUGUCUUUCUUCUUUCUCCUCUUUCCUCUCUUCUCUCUUCUUUCUCCUCCCUCCCUCCCUCCAGCCCCGCUUCCUCCCGCCCUUCCUCCUCCUUUCCUCCCUCCCUUCUUCUUUCUUCUCUUCUAUGCUGAGGAUCCAAUCAGGGCCUCUCACAUGCCAGGCCAGUACUCUACCACUGAGCUACACUCAGCCCCAGAUUGACCUUUUCAAGAGACAAUUCUGAUCGUGCUUAAAGUCCUUCUAUAGUUUCAGAAUAAAACUCAAAGUUCUUGCCACAGCCAUGAGACCCUCUGUCUUCCUCAGUGGUCUAUGUCUGUCCACUUCCCCCACCUGCACCUGUUGGGACAGAGUGGUGGGUGAGCAUUGAACAUCUGCAUAGGCUUUGAAGAGAGAGCUGCUGAGGUUUGUGGAGGGAUUGGAGUGGGCGUGAGGGGAAUAG
ensembl:lncRNA